GAUGAAGAACGUAGCGAAAUGCGAUAAGUAAUGUGAAUUGCAGAAUUCAGUGAACCAUCGAAUCUUUGAACGCACAUUGCGCCCGGCAGUAAUCUGCCGGGCAUGCCUGUCCGAGCGUCAUUUCUGCCCUCGAGCGAGUCCAGCAUCUAGGUGCUGGGCCCGCCCGGCGUUGGGGCACUACGGGAAGCCCUGUGCUGUCCCCCGUAGGCCCCGAAAUGAAGUGGCGGUCCUGCCGCGGCGCCCCCUGCGUAGUAUAACAGCUCGCUUCGGGACCCGGUGGAGGCCUGCCGUCAAACCUUACUCUCUAAGUUUGACCUCGGAUCAGGUAGGGUUACCCGCUGAACUUAAGCAUAUCAAUAAACGGAGGA
rnacentral:misc_RNA from 1 species